ensembl:lncRNA
GUCCAUCACUGGAGUCCAUCACUGUAGUCCAUCCCUGUAGUCCAUCACUGGAGUCCAUCACUGUAGUCCAUCCCUGUAGUCCAUCACAUGAGUCCAUCCCUGUAGUCCAUCACAUGAGUCCAUCACUGGAGUCCAUCACUGUAGUCCAUCCCUGUAGUCCAUCACAUGAGUCCAUCCCUGUAGUCCAUCCCUGUAGUCCAUCCCUGUAGUCCAUCACAUGAGUCCAUCAGUGUAGUCCAUCACUGGAGUCCAUCCCUGUAGUCCAUCACAUGAGUCCAUCACUGGAGUCCAUCACUGGAGUCCAUCCCUGUAGUCCAUCACAUGAGUCCAUCACUGGAGUCCAUCACAUGAGUCCAUCACAUGAGUCCAUCACUGGAGUCCAUCACAUGAGUCCAUCACAUGAGUCCAUCACUGGAUCCAUCACAUGAGUCCAUCACUGGAGUCCAUCACAUGAGUCCAUCACAUGAGUCCAUCACAUGAGUCCAUCACAUGAGUCCAUCACAUGAGUCCAUCACUGGAGUCCAUCACAUGAGUCCAUCACAUGAGUCCAUCACUGGAGUCCAUCACAUGAGUCCAUCCCUGUAGCCAUCCCUGGAGUCCAUUACAUGAGUCC